rnacentral:snRNA from 1 species
UUACUCUGGUUUCUCUUCAUAACGCACAAGUCUUUCGCCUUUUACUCAAGACUUCCGUGGAGAGUGACUCCAACGAGUUUAGCCUAUUUUUGGCAGGCUUUGCUCUCUGGCAGAGCCG